AUACAGCUGCGCUGUUAAUGGUAUUGCCAUUUGCUACCACACUGGCUCCUUCAUUAACCUGAUGAGUUGAAGCAUCAGGUGAUUUUCCUUGUGAGACUAUCAAUGAGUUGUCUCCCCUGAUAUUAUAUUCACAGCUGUGUAGAUUUAUUAAAGCUAUUGGGGGGGGGGGGGCUCCAUGCCCCCAGAAAUUCCCGAUGCUAGUGUUGUGGCACUCAGUGAAUCACAAGUUAAGUCUGCAAGAAGCAACCUGUUUUCUGCUAGAAUUCUAACACAACCAAGAAGUUCACCUUGAAGUUCACGUGUCAUUAUGACCAACUACCUGCCAGCCCACCCUGCUGUGAAGUGGGCUGGUAGAAAAGUGUAGACUGAAAGAAAAGGCACUGAAUCCUCUGACAUACCAGCCUCUUCUCCUGGAACCGCAGCUCAUUCUGUUGGGCACACUUGCCAAGAGCCAGUCCACAUCUCGCGUAUUGACGUGCCGUUGAAAUGACAGCUCCAGCUUUCACACGCUGGUGCACUGUAGUCGCUGGGGAGUUUCCCUGUUCCUGUUCCACUAUUAGGUUUCAAACCUCCCUGCUGAGUAGCUGUCCUCAAGUCACAUCAGGAGGACAGAGUGAGAAAACUCUCAUGGCUGCAACGUGAAAAUGAUGGGCUGAAGCCUGGAUGAUUGCUGCAAAUGGAACAAGGGGCUGGCAAUUCAUAUGCUGCAGCCCAGCAUGGCCCCAUCUGAGUCUGAUUAAUAAGAAUCUUGGCUUUCAACUCCAAUGUGGCCUUGGGUAACUUCUUAGAUUAAUAUUAAAGCAAAAAAAAAAAAUUGAUUAAAUAUGAAUAGAUGUUAUGGCAGGAUAAUUCAGGUAUCUGUAUAUGGACGUCAACUUCUAUGUCAAUGUAUCUAUUUAUCAAAGAAGCCUAAGAAAGUUCCAUACUCAAGAUAUGGUGACAGUGUCAUUCUUAAAUAGUCACCUUUGAAAUUCUGGAAGCCCACCCCCAGUAGCGCAAAAGUGAAUGCCCUGCUAGCUGCAAGUAUCAUGUAAACCAUUUUAUCUCAACUAUUUUUGCUAGGAAAGCUCUUCUUUAUUCUGCUAGGUAAAAGAGUAGGCAUGUUGUCACAGCACAGCUAAAUCCCACAGCUUAUUACCAUGAAAUAUAUGAGCUUAGAGGAUAUGAAAGUGUUCCAUCCAAGAGGAUAUGAAAGUGGUCUGCCCGGAGAGAGUUCAAGGCCUUUUGUAUAAAGAACACAGUUCCGGGCUUUGAAGCUGUGGUGUGUCAGGAUUUCAAAAAAGGCAGUUCAAAAAAAAAUAAAGGCAUUUUAAACAGAUAAUUAUUUCCCAUAUACCAUCAAGACAGACUGUAGAGGUAAAAUAAAGACCCUAAAAAACCUCUGUUUAGAAGGCCUCCUUUGCUCCUUCAGAGAUGCCAUGGCAGGGUGUGUGGGGACAGUCUAGAUACAGCUAGAGUUUCCCUAGCCCAGGGUCCCAUAACCACUGAAGCUUUUGGAGCCAGGUGAAAACUAUGGAAGAUUUGAGCACCUCAGGUUCACUCUAUUGCACUAUGACUGCAGGUAGACAGUCUUACCUAGCAAAAAAACAAACAAAAAAACUACAGUGAGCAAAACCUACAUGACUGUAUCUUGGGAGGGGAGUGGUGAAACACUGGGGGAAACCCCAUUGUUCACCUGACUAUUCUAGAUACCAGUAUGAUUCAUCUUCCUUUCCUAUGUUCUAACAGUAUUAGUGAAUAACUUUUAGGAAUUGACCUGCUCUCUGAUUUAUUCUGUUGUGCAGAUUUAAGAGGCAAUAACAUUUUGUUAUUAAUACAUAACUGUUAAAUACACUUUGCAGUCAAUACCAGAACAGGCAUGCUCCCUGGACCUCAUCCUAGUGUCCCUCUAGUCAAUAAACUAUUGACUGCAAUGAGAAAAGGAUCUAAAUCCACAAAUGGAAAAAUUGCUAGUGCCAAGGAACAGGUAAACUGAAGCUUUCACAUGUCAUAUAUUUAAAAUUGAAUCCACACAGUAUAAGUUAUGCAGCUGAAUUUGGAUGGGCCAAGUAAGAUGAUAGUAGAUAAUGAGACAUCUGUAUUACAACAUCUAGAAAACCUAAUACCACACAUUAAACUGAUUUCUUUAUGAAAACUGAUACAAUGAGAUUAUUUCUCUAUUAAAAAAAAUAAAUAAAUUCAAAUACAGGGGGAUUUAUUUAAAAAUAAAUACUCUCCGUUACCCUUUCAAGGAUGUUAGGGUUGUUCAUUGUUGUUACCUUCCCCUAUUGACUUGCUGAGUCUUUAAUACCAAACAACCCCAGUAGUAGUGUGUUUUUUUUUUUUUUUUUUUUUUUAUGGCAACAGGCCUUGAAGUUAUGGGAGUAACUCCAGUAUAUUAAGCUACCAAUAUUCUUUAGGUUGAAAGCAUAAUGAGAUGCAUUCCUUCCAGUUGUGGCUCUGGGGGUUGUUUUUUUUUUUCCCCUAUAUUCAGGUUCUUUUAAAAACAAGAAUUACUGGAGAGAGGGGAAGGAACUGGAAGGGGAAAAAAAAGGAAGCUUUGAGUGAUGAAUUCUGAAGAGCCUAGGGAUGUAGGAUGGCUUUGAGUGAUGCUAUUUUACUGUACUUUCCCUUAAAACAAACAAGUGUGGUUGCAGCUCUGCCACCUCCCCCAGGUAGGAAGGAAAACUAAUUUGUUCAACCUUCUGUGCUUGUUCCAGACAGAAGAGGCAGUUUAAUUUUUGCUCUCUGCUUUCCCUAGCCACCUGCAGUCUUAGGGGAGUGCCUGCAUCUUUCCUACCACUGAAUUGUUUAUAUUUAUAUUGUCACACUAAAGAGCCAUCUCUUAACUGUUGGAGCUGGCCAGGCCCUCAGUGACAAUUUUAUUUUUUUUUUGAUACUUGUAUGGGUUUUUCCAUAUGAGCUAGCAGGGUUUCUGUAACAGGCAUGCACACAGGAGCGAAACUUGAUGGAGGAGAGAAAUGGCCCCAAGAAGGCAUCCCAUCUCCGCCACUUCUUCCACCACUGCAGGGCCCUGUGGUGGCCAGAAGGGUUUGGUGAUGAGAUAAAACCUCUUGCUGAAAUGUGGUCCCAGAGAUGAGCCCAGAGAAGUGCCUGUUCCUGCUCUAGAAGGGGCACGUUGCCCUUACACACCGUUUAGUUUGCACAGUGGCCACAAAGCCCUAUGGAUGAGGGUCGUGUUCGCUGGCAAAAGGGGUUAUCAGACAGCCCACUUGGCCCUACUUUUUUUUUUUUUUUCUGUCCCCCGUGCAGAGCAGAUCUAGUGGGGUAUGGAUUUCUCACCUCUGCACAGGCACCCAAGCCUUGCGAAACUUUGUGGUGGCAGUGGACGUGUGGCUAUUUUGUUCUGAAAUGACUGCCCCUGCUUAAAUCACUGUCGUAUCACCUAAUCACCACCAGUCAGGCAAAUUUUCUGGGAGCUGCUAAAAACAGUAGGGCCUGUUAUUCUGAGAUUAAGGAGGGAUUAGCUGUGCGAUUUCACUCAUCCUGAAGAGAAAGGUUAAACGCUUUGGGAGGAGGAAGCGUAUGUGUGUGCGCAUGGAUCUUCCAAAACAACAGAUGGUUUCAAUAAAGUUGCUCCUGCUGCUAGGAAGUGGCACUUCUUGACAUUAGCAGAGCCAUAUCUCAUCAGGGUUCUUGUUUCUACCAGCCUGUCUCAGCGAGGCCAAAUCCACUGUACAGUAUGGGGUAAUCAGAAAAGACACUCCAGUAUCUGCCCCAUUAAUUGCCCCCUGCCAGUCUUCGCUCUGUUCUGAUGUAAAGCCCACUGUGCUCAGUGUGGUAUGAUCAAUCGGCUUUGAAGGGCAACUUCCUCUAAUGAUCUGCAAUUCCCCCUACUUAAACUGCAGCAAGAAGUGUCUUUUUAAAGAUUCUGCAAGAAAUGUGUUAUUUCUUGGAACCGCUAAAUAAAAAACUCUCUGCUUCAAUCAAUGUAUCGAUGUAUUAAAUUAUUGUGCAACUAAAUUAAUGUGCCCCUCGGUGAAAGAACCGCAGAAAAUGAGCGGUGUUUUAUGCAUUAAAGACAAAUUGGUAAAAGAUUGUUUUCCAAGGUUAGAUUGUUCCUCAGUGAAUAUCAAGAUUUUUCCAAUUAAAAUAUGAGGUUUUUUUUUCAGAGUGUGGUGGUAUCGGCUGCAUUACUUCUCACAGAUUGGCGGUACAAAUUAACACGUACAAAUAGCUGAGCAAUUGUCAACAUUAGUAAUUGGCAUAUUUUGAGGACGGCAUGUGAUAUUAUCCAUUUUUACUAGGACUGUAUUUAAAUUCUAUAGUUGAACAAUUUUGCUGACAGUUGGCUUUUUUUUUUUUUUUUAAUUGAAGACAUUUAUGAAAAAAUGACUGUUCAAAAUGUUGCUGUGAAAACUAAAAAGUCCUGUCAAGCUUUUGCAAACUCUGGUUUUCUUCGGACUGUGUUUUGUGUGUCAGGGGAGGUUGGCCCUUCCUCUCGUGAUGUCCUCCACCUUUCAGUGAAAAGCACCCUAUGGGGAAGGCCAAGAAAUAAGCCGAGGAUGCAGUGACAUCUUUCAAAAGUUUUCAA